UGCAACAAAUUGUGGAGGAACUAACUCGUGAGGAUGAUGAGCGUACUGCUUUGCAAAUAAAACGAAUUCUCCAUUCCAAGUAUGACCUGGACAUAUCGGCCACCAGCAUCAGAAGGAUGCGACGGAAAAUGGGAUGGACCUUUGGCGCAACAAGGAUAUCUCCAAUGAUAAGAGAUGUGAAUAAAGAAAAGAGAGUGGAACAGGCACGGCGAUGGAUUGAGAGUGGUGAAACAUUUGAUGAUGUAAUUUUCACAGAUGAAUCGUCUGUUGCCCUUGAGCGGUUCUCCAGAAUGUCAUUCCGGAAACGUAACCAUAUCUCAUUAAAACCACGCCCAAAGCAUCCAUUGAAAGUCCAUGUAUGGGGAGGCAUAUCACGAUUAUGAGCUGGUCCCCUAUUAUUUUUCGAAGGGAUCAUGGAUAAGAAAUUUUUCCAAGAAACAAUAGUAGAGGAAUGUAUGGUGCCAUUUGUGAAUAAAUAUUACUCAACUCACCAUAGGAUAUUCCAAGACAAUGAUCCUAAACACUCCGCCUCAGCCAAAUUUAUGGAAGAGAAAGGUAUGAAUUGGGAACGCACACCACCAGAAUCACCAGACAUGAACCCAAUCGAAUUAGUGUGGGCUCAAUUGAAGAGGUACAUUAGGAGUGUUGCGAAGCCAACAACAAAACAGCAACUGUUGGAUGGGAUAAAGACAUUUUGGCUAGAAGUACUCACACCUGAACAUUGUAAUAAUUAUAUAAAUCACCUGUAUAAAGUAUUACCUGUUGUAGUCGAAAGAAAUGGUCAAGCCACAAAUAUGUAGUUCUGUACUGUAUUUUCUGUUUAAAAUUUUA